CCCUAUAUCAGUGGCGCAUAGGUAAAUUGCAAGAUGACAAGUUGAUAGAUACAGUCAGGGUGUGGCUGGACUGUAGCAAAGAAUUUGAACAGACAAAAGGAGAUGUAAUGUUUGAUGAAAAGUCAGGACGCCAUUAUUAUCGAC